rnacentral:rRNA from 1 species
AGGGAACGAUGGAGGCAGGCCUAACACAUGCAAGUCGAGCGGAUGAAGGGAGCUUGCUCCUGGAUUCAGCGGCGGACGGGUGAGUAAUGCCUAGGAAUCUGCCUGGUAGUGGGGGAUAACGUCCGGAAACGGGCGCUAAUACCUCAUACGUCCUGAGGGAGAAAGUGGGGGAUCUUCGGACCUCACGCUAUCAGAUGAGCCUAGGUCGGAUUAGCUAGUUGGUGGGGUAAAGGCCUACCAAGGCGACGAUCCGUAACUGGUCUGAGAGGAUGAUCAGUCACACUGGAACUGAGACACGGUCCAGACUCCUACGGGAGGCAGCAGUGGGGAAUAUUGGACAAUGGGCGAAAGCCUGAUCCAGCCAUGCCGCGUGUGUGAAGAAGGUCUUCGGAUUGUAAAGCACUUUAAGUUGGGAGGAAGGGCAGUAAGUUAAUACCUUGCUGUUUUGACGUUACCAACAGAAUAAGCACCGGCUAACUUCGUG